AUGAGGUCCCCAGCCUGCAAAUCCCAUUUAGCAAAUAAGAAGUCACAAAACUAAUGCACCAUCAUUAAUAUGCAGUCAUGACAUGAUAUGCAAAAAAUCUUGAUUAACUCUUAUUUUGCCUAAGCCCUGCCAAACUUGAUUACAAGAUGAGGGACUUGCUAAGGUAGUUGGACAAAAGCAAAACGAAGAAAAUCCCAACAGCAGCAAAAUCAUCACUAUUAAUGCAUAUGCAAAUAUGAAGAUCCAAUCUACAAAAAUAUGUCCAAUGCUUUUGAAUGAUAUAAACAUUGAAACAAAAUGAACAUUUUAUUUUUCAUAACAAAUUAACUUCAUCAUAGUUUAUUGUUCAAUUCCAUGAAUCAAACAGUGGCCUGAUAAUACUUAAAAUGUUAUUCUAAUACUUAAAAUGUUUAACAAAACAGGAAAUGGACAGCUUAAAAGACCUUAGGAACUAACUAUUGUAAGUGAUGUCUGAAAGGUGGUUAACGUUCAUAUCCUAUUUUGCCAUAGAAAAUUCUUCACCAAGGCAAUUUCCAUAUAGCAGGUAAUACAAGUUCAUAAAUAUCUUCAACAUACAAAAGAAAUAGCCAAAAAGAAAAACCAAAAACCUUAAUAUUUUAACACAAAACUGUCAGACUCAGACAUAACAAGCCAAACAUCCAAGAAGUCAACUGCAGCCGUGUAACCCCAUUUUUUUUUCCCAGUAUCUUUAAAGCAAAUGCAUGCAUAAACUUUGCCAAAUGUUCUUAGCAUCUCCAUUUAACACAUUUUUGGAUAUCAAUUUACAAAGGAUCAAAUCAUAAUAAACAGAAUAACAUUAAAA
rnacentral:misc_RNA from 1 species